UUCUUUGUCUAAUACGUUUUCCUAUUUAUUUGUAUUGUAGUCCUGUAAUAUUAUGUUGUCAUUUCUAUGUUAUAUUUAACAUUGCCAUUAAAGUGCGAGGUUUGGCAUGCCACAAAACCAGGUUCAACCCACCAUUUUUUUCUUUAAAAAUGUCCUGUACCAAGUCAGGAAUAUGGCCAUUGUUAUAUUAUAGUUCGUUUCUGUGUGUGUUACAAUUUAACGUUGCGUCGUUUGUUUUCUCUUAUUUUUGAGUGUAAAUUGACAUUGCGAUAAGACGUGUCACGGUACUUGUCUAUCCCAAAUUCAUGUAUUUGGUUUUGAUGUUAUAUUUGUUAUUCUCGUGGGAUUUUGUCUGAUGCUUGGUCCGUUUCUGUGUGUGUUAGUUACAUUGUAGUGUUGUGUCGUUGUUCUCCUCUUAUAUUUAUGCGUUUCCGUCAGUUUUAGUUUGUUACCCCGAUUUUGUUUUUUGUCCAUGGAUUUAUGAGUUUGAACAGCGGUAUACUACUGUUGCCUUUAUUUAGAUACGCUUCUCUUGGUUACGACUGCAUAUUAUAUAACCAGAUGCUCCACAGGGCGCAGCUUUAUACGACCGCAGAGGUUGAACCCUGAACUGUUGGGGCAAGUAUGGACACAACAUUCAAGCUGGAUUCAGCUCUAAAUUUGGAUUGUGAUUAAAUAGUUGACACAGCAUAGGUUUUUGACACAGAAUGAAUGUGGUCUAAUGAACUUAAAAUAAUUUUUUUGCUUUUGAGCAAUCACUAUGCUGUUGAAUAUUAAUCCUCUCAAAAAAAUGUUUGAAGAAAUUUUCUUAUUAUUUAUGAAAUCUGAAAUGAGAAAAAUUUAACCCCCCCCACCAUUUUUUUUUACAUCCCCCUUUCCCUUUUUUCAAAACUGAUCUCAAUUCAAAUUUCUAAUGGAGUUUGCAAC
rnacentral:lncRNA from 1 species